rnacentral:rRNA from 1 species
UACAGAGGUGGCAAGCGUUGUUCGGAAUUACUGGGCGUAAAGGGCUCGUAGGCGGCCAACUAAGUCCGACGUGAAAUCCCCAGGCUUAACCUGGGAACUGCGUCGGAUACUGGAUGGCUUGAAUUCGGGAGAGGGAUGCAGAAUUCCAGGUGUAGCGGUGAAAUGCGUAGAUAUCUGGAGGAAUACCGGUGGCGAAGGCGGCAUCCUGGACCGACAUUGACGCUGAUGAGCGAAAGCUAGGGGAGCAAACGGG